AUCUGACCUCAGAUCAGGCAAGGCUACCCGCUGAG
rnacentral:rRNA from 1 species